rnacentral:rRNA from 1 species
GACGAACGCUGGCGGCGUGCUUAACACAUGCAAGUCGAACGGAAAGGCCCUGCUUUUGUGGGGUGCUCGAGUGGCGAACGGGUGAGUAACACGUGAGUAACCUGCCCUUGACUUUGGGAUAACUUCGGGAAACUGGGGCUAAUACCGGAUAGGAGCUCCUGCUGCAUGGUGGGGGUUGGAAAGUUUCGGCGGUUGGGGAUGGACUCGCGGCUUAUCAGCUUGUUGUUGGGGUAGUGGCUUACCAAGGCUUUGACGGGUAGCCGGCCUGAGAGGGUGACCGGCCACAUUGGGACUGAGAUACGGCCCAGACUCCUACGGGAGGCAGCAGUGGGGAAUAUUGCACAAUGGGCGGAAGCCUGAUGCAGCAACGCCGCGUGCGGGAUGACGGCCUUCGGGUUGUAAACCGCUUUCGCCUGUGACGAAGCGUGAGUGACGGUAAUGGGUAAAGAAGCACCGGCUAACUACGUG